CUUGACAUCGAGGGAAGCUUUUAGAGACAGAAAGUGUCCUCUUCGGAGGACCCAAAGACAGGUGCUGCAUGGCUGUCGUCAGCUCGUGUCGUGAGAUGUUGGGUUAAGUCCCGCGAACGAGCGCAACCCCUAUCGUUAGUUGCCAGCGAGUAAUGUCGGGCACUCUAGCGAGACUGCCGUCGUCAAGACGGAGGAAGGCGGGGAUGACGUCAAGUCCUCAUGGCCCUUAUGUCCGGGGCUACACACGUACUACAAUGGGCGGUACAGAGCGCAGCGAACUCGCGAGAGUAAGCGAAUCGCAGAAAACCGUCCUUAGUUCGGAUUGCAGGUCUGCAACUCGGCUGCAUGAAGUCGGAAUCGCUAGUAAUCGCGCAUCAGCCAUGGCGCGGUGAAUACGUUCCCGGACCUUGUACACACCGCCCGU
rnacentral:rRNA from 1 species